AUACGUAGGGGGCGAGCGUUGUCCGGAAUUACUGGGCGUAAAGAGCUCGUAGGUGGUUUGUCGCGUCGUCUGUGAAAUUCCGGGGCUUAACUCCGGGCGUGCAGGCGAUACGGGCAUAACUUGAGUACUGUAGGGGAGACUGGAAUUCCUGGUGUAGCGGGGAAAUGCGCAGAUAUCAGGAGGAACACCGGUGGCGAAGGCGGGUCUCUGGGCAGUAACUGACGCUGAGGGGCGAAAGCAUGGGUAGCGAACAGGAUUAGAUACCCUGGUAGUCCAUGCCGUAAACGGUGGGCGCUAGGUGUAGGGGUCUUCCACGACUUCUGUGCCGUAGCUAACGCAUUAAGCGCCCCGCCUGGGGAGUACGGCCGCAAGGCUAAAACUCAAAUGAAUUGACGGGG
rnacentral:rRNA from 1 species